ensembl:misc_RNA 7SK 7SK RNA
GGAUGUGAGGGCGAUCUGGCUGUGACAUCUGUCACCCCACUGAUAGCCAGGGUUGAUUCGGCUGAUUUGGCUGUCUAGACGGGUGUCCCCUUCCUCCCUUACCACUCCUCACUGCGUCCCUCUGGAAGCUGCACACUUGGUCAAAGAGGACAGUGUUCCCUGAAUAAAGAUGGUGCGGUCUUUGGUCGAGAGUAUACGAGUAGCUGCGCUCCCCUGCUAGAACCUCCAAACAAGCUCUCAAGAAGUAGAGUAUUUUGAGUAAUAAUAUACCAUGAGAUAAGCCAACAGUAUUAUUAAGCUACUUAUCUAUAGUUUUCUAUAGAAAAUGCAUAGGAA